GUCAGACUGAUUGAAAAGAUUUCGCGUGUCACCUGUGCAACAAGUUUACAAGUCUCGUGAGGAGAUUGGAUAAUAUCCACGUAUUUAGUUCCGCACCAUUAACAUCCUACACAAUAAAUUGCGGUCAGAGCCUGUUUACCACUAAUUCCAGUCGCUGCUGUGUGCAUCAGGGGCACCAAUUGCAUUGGUCCAGUAAGCGGGAAAACGUAAUUAAUUAGAUAAUAAUUGGCGUUUGUUGAUACCUGUUUAGCACUUCAUAACCAAAUUAGGAAAAGUAUGUAUGCAAUAUGGUCAUCAGAAGGAAAGUCUUUUAACACGUUUUUCUGUGUCUGGAAAAAGUAAAGAGCGAUAGAAGAAAAGGCAACUUCACAAAUACACGGUAUUGGAGAGAUACUUUCAGAUACCGAGUUCACAUUUAAACAAACCAGAUGCCAACUAGCUUCGCAUACUCAAUAUUAGUUUCGGCUUUGUAAUAAAGUGAUCGGUCAAUGGACAUUGUUUGUUAUUGUGCUGUGUCCCAUGUAUUCAAUUGGAAGUCGUGCCUAAUACAUCAUGUUUGGUUGUUGU